rnacentral:rRNA from 1 species
GACGAACGCUGGCGGCGUGCCUAAUACAUGCAAGUCGAACGCUGAAGGAGGAGCUUGCUUCUCUGGAUGAGUUGCGAACGGGUGAGUAACGCGUAGGUAACCUGCCUGGUAGCGGGGGAUAACUAUUGGAAACGAUAGCUAAUACCGCAUAAUAGUAGAUGUUGCAUGACAUUUGCCUAAAAGGUGCAAUUGCAUCACUACCAGAUGGACCUGCGUUGUAUUAGCUAGUUGGUGGGGUAACGGCUCACCAAGGCGACGAUACAUAGCCGACCUGAGAGGGUGAUCGGCCACACUGGGACUGAGACACGGCCCAGACUCCUACGGGAGGCAGCAGUAGGGAAUCUUCGGCAAUGGACGGAAGUCUGACCGAGCAACGCCGCGGGAGGGAAGAAGGGUUUCGGAUCGUAAAGCUCUGUUGUAAGAGAAGAACGAGUGUGAGAGUGGAAAGUUCACACUGUGACGGUAGCUUACCAGAAAGGGACGGCUAACUACGUG